UUUCGUAAGCAUUCGUGAGUGAAAUGUGAACUAUGUGAACGUGUUUCCGAUUUCCGAUUUUGCUCCUUCAUUUUAUGUGUGCUUUUCAGCGAAGUUGGAUGUGGUGAAAGUAAUUCGCCACCAUGGUUAACGGACGUAUUCCGUCAGUUUGUUCUAAAACCUACGUUACUCCACGUCGUCCUUAUGAAAAGGCACGUUUGGACCAAGAAUUAAAAAUAAUCGGCGAGUAUGGGCUUAGAAAUAAACGUGAAGUAUGGAGGGUGAAGUAUACGCUUGCGAAAAUUCGUAAGGCUGCCAGAGAAUUGCUUACCCUUGAAGAAAAGGAUCCUAAACGUCUUUUUGAAGGAAAUGCCCUUUUAAGACGUCUUGUUCGUAUUGGAGUAUUGGAUGAAAACAGGAUGAAGCUCGAUUAUGUGUUGGGUCUUAAAAUUGAAGACUUUCUGGAACGUCGUUUACAGACCCAAGUCUUCAAGCUGGGUUUGGCUAAGUCAAUCCAUCAUGCAAGAGUUUUGAUAAGACAAAGGCACAUUCGGUAAUAUUUCAUUUGGUUCAUUUAAGUCUUAUAUUCACAAAGGCCACUUAGACUGAGGUCUAAUGUCUUGAAAUAAUUAUUCUGUAAGGCCACUUGAACUCUCACAGAGACUUCAACGUCUUACCAGAUAAACUACAAAGAAAAGUGUAGAGUCCGAAAGCAGGUGGUAAAUAUCCCAUCUUUUGUUGUAAGAUUGGACUCUCAAAAGCAUAUUGACUUCUCAUUGAAAUCGCCAUUUGGUGGUGGCAGACCUGGUCGUGUUAAGAGGAAGAACCUCCGCAAGGGAACAGGUGGAGGUGCAGUAGAAGAAGAAGAGGACGUCUAAGUAAUUUC